GCGGGUAUAGUUUAGUGGUAAAACCCUAGCUUCAAGCU
rnacentral:tRNA from 1 species